GGCUUAACACAUGCAAGUCGAGGGGUAACAUUGUGCUUGCACAGAUGACGACCGGCGCACGGGUGCGUAACGCGUAUAGAACCUACCUUUUACAGAGGAAUAGCCUUUAGAAAUGAAGAUUAAUACCUCAUGGUAUUGUAGACUGGCAUCAGUUUAUAAUUAAAGAUUUAUCGGUAAAAGAUGGCUAUGCGUCCUAUUAGUUAGUUGGUAAGGUAACGGCUUACCAAGACAGCGAUAGGUAGGGGUCCUGAGAGGGAGAUCCCCCACACUGGUACUGAGACACGGACCAGACUCCUACGGGAGGCAGCAGUGAGGAAUAUUGGACAAUGGAGGAGACUCUGAUCCAGCCAUGCCGCGUGUAGGAAGAAUGCCCUAUGGGUUGUAAACUACUUUUAUACAGGAAGAAACACUGGUAUGUAUACCAGCUUGACGGU
rnacentral:rRNA from 1 species